rfam:Pteropus alecto contig11824, whole genome shotgun sequence.
GUCUACGGCCAUGCCACCCUGAACAUGCUCGAUCUCGUCUGAUCUUGGAAGCUAAGCAGGGUCGGGCCUGGUUAGUACUUGGAUGGGAGACCAUCUAUGAAUACCAGAUGCUGUAGGUG